CUUGCUCUCGGGUGACGAGUGGCGGACGGGUGAGUAAUGUCUGGGAAACUGCCCGAUGGAGGGGGAUAACUACUGGAAACGGUAGCUAAUACCGCAUAACGUCUACGGACCAAAGUGGGGGACCUUCGGGCCUCACACCAUCGGAUGUGCCCAGAUGGGAUUAGCUAGUAGGUGGGGUAAUGGCUCACCUAGGCGACGAUCCCUAGCUGGUCUGAGAGGAUGACCAGCCACACUGGAACUGAGACACGGUCCAGA
rnacentral:rRNA from 1 species